GUCACUCACUGCGCAGUCUACCAUAGGAGGUGGCGCUAAUGCACGUUUCAGUUGGUUGCCACCCGCCAUUUAAAAGACAAAAGAAGAAGAAGUCACUCAGGUUAAAGAAGCGCCCACUUGCUGCUUCCCCAAACAUAAGCUGACACAUGCCAGCUACCGAAACGCGAGGAGGUUGCUUCUCAAACUGACACGCGGCUACCUUGUAGAAGAGUAGAAGAGUGCUCACCUCAGGAGCAAAGAGUGGUGUCAAGGAAAACAGCUGCGUCCUCCAUCUGUACAGCAGCUGCACUGCUUCCGAUGUCUUCCAACACGUGAAGACAAAAAAAAGAUCCUCACAUCUCCCCAACCAACUGCCCAUGACUAUACAGUACCUGUUGCACUCCAGAAACUAUGCUUUCAACAUAACUAUGAAUCCUACCCGUUCAUUUUGUGGUCUGCAAAUCGAACUGUGACGGUAACUUAUCCAGCAUCAUAGUGCUGGUGCAUUGGUUAAAAAUAAAGUUGGCUUUGACUAUUGCUGUUUCACUGAACUAUUUUUGUCCGGAAUGAGAAUCAUCAUGGAGAGGAGUGUGGUGAUGAAUGAAUUGGCCAACCUGCCUCAGACUUUCUAUCUUUCGAAUGGUCAAUGCGCUCCACCUGGACUACCCUGCACUGUAGCUGAAGGAGAAGGAGGAGCAGUGUCCAAGGCAGAGACUAAAGGUUGAGAGGGAAUUAAUAAAGGGCAGAGUAGCUACAUGUAUUUAGCAGUGUCUUCUCUCUCUGACGAUGGAGACUUUGGUCAAGGCUGAACUUUGUUUUCCAUUGCUGAUCAACACUUCUUGUCAGAAGUACGAACUCUCUCAUACGAAGAUGAUGCUCAUUUACCUUGUGCUAUCCUGCAUUUCUGUGGUCACUGUGGUUCUGAACCUGCUGGUUAUCAUCUCAAUCUCCCACUUCAGGCACAGAUUUAUGUCUUAGCUUUGAUAACAUGUUUCUGUAAUAACAUUAAUUUAAAUAUCAUUCUCUAAAUCUUGGAAUACAGUUUCAUUAAUCUAACGUUGAUAAUAACUUCAGUUUUUGUUAUAUUCACAGUAAUGCUGUUCUCUCCCUCUAGGCAGCUCCACACUCCCACCAACCUCCUCCUCCUCUCUCUGGCUGUGUGUGACUUUCUCGUUGGUCUCCUUGUGAUGCCGGUUCAGAUCCUCCUAAUAGAACCAUGUUGGCUCCUUGGUGACUUGGUGUGUGUUCUGUAUUAUUUUAUUACUUUAGUCAGAGUUUUUGCAUCAGUGUUGAGCAUGGUUUUGAUAUCUGUAGACCGUUAUGUGGCCAUCUGUGACCCUCUGCGUUACUCUACAAAGUUCACUCUGAGGACUGUUAAGUUCUGUGUCCUGCUGUGUUGGAUUUAUUCUUUUUUCUACAGCUUUCUGAUUUUACUCGAUAACCUGAAGCAGCCAGGCAGGUAUAAGUCCUGUGAUGGACAAUGUGUGAUUAAUAUAAAUAGGGUUGUUGACCUGGUUCUAAACUUCAUCCUCCCUAUCUCAGCCAUCAUCAUCCUGUAUGUGAGGGUGUUUGUGGUGGCUGUGUCUCAGGCUCGUUCCAUGCGCUCCCACGUUGCAGCUGUUAAACGUCAACGUUCACUGACUGUAACUGUUCAAAGGUCAGAGCUGAAAGCAGCCAGGACUCUGGGUGUAACUGUGUUUGUGUUCCUCAUAUGUUAUUGUCCACCUUAUUGUAUCUCUAUCUUUGGCCUUGACAUGAAAAUGAGUUCUUUAAGUACCUUCUUUAUAUUUUUUCUGGUAUCAUUUAACUCCUGCCUAAACCCUGUGAUUUAUGGAUUUUUCUACAACUGGUUCAGAAAAUGUGUAAAACUCAUUGUAAUGCUACAGAUACUACAGCCUCAGUCCUGUCAGACAGACGUACUUCAAUGAAAAUAUUUGACUUUUAGCUGAAGGACUGAUGUUUUGUGUUAUUACUCUGGUCAAUAAA